rnacentral:rRNA from 1 species
GAUGAACGCUGGCGGCGUGCCUAAUACAUGCAAGUCGAGCGAAUGGAUUAAGAGCUUGCUCUUAUGAAGUUAGCGGCGGACGGGUGAGUAACACGUGGGUAACCUGCCCAUAAGACUGGGAUAACUCCGGGAAACCGGGGCUAAUACCGGAUAACAUUUUGAACCGCAUGGUUCGAAAUUGAAAGGCGGCUUCGGCUGUCACUUAUGGAUGGACCCGCGUCGCAUUAGCUAGUUGGUGAGGUAACGGCUCACCAAGGCAACGAUGCGUAGCCGACCUGGGAGGGUGAUCGGCCACCCGGGGACUGGGACACGGCCCAGACUCCUACGGGAGGCAGCAGUAGGGAAUCUUCCGCAAUGGACGAAAGUCUGACGGAGCAACGCCGCGUGAGUGAUGAAGGCUUUCGGGUCGUAAAACUCUGUUGUUAGGGAAGAACAAGUGCUAGUUGAAUAAGCUGGCACCUUGACGGUACCUAACCAGAAAGCCACGGCUAACUACGUGCCAGCAGCCGCCGUAACAC